rnacentral:tRNA from 1 species
GGAUUUAUAGCUCAGUUGGUAGAGCAGAGGCCUUUUAAGCCUUUGGUCCUGGGUUCGAGUCCCAGUGAAUCCACCA